AGGAAAGGAGACAAGGGCACAUGAAGGAUGCCUUGGCUCUCGGAGGCGAAGAAGGACGUGACAAGCUGCGAUAAGCCGCGGGGAGGGGCAAAUACCCAUUGAACCGCGGAUUUCCGAAUGGGGCAACCCACCGGAAGCGAUUCCGGUAUCUGCGGUAUGCGCAGAGGCAAACCCGGGGAACUGAAACAUCUCAGUACCCGGAGGAAAAGAAAAUAACAAUGAUUCCGCAAGUAGUGGCGAGCGAACGCGGAAGAGCCCAAACCGGAGAUGUGGCAACGCAUCAUCCGGGGUUGUAGGACCUGACGACAAAUUUGGUAUCCAGGAUAGCCGAACCGGCUGGAAAGCCGGGCCGUAGCGGGUGAAAGCCCCUUAGGCGAAAUCCGGAGGAUAUUGAAGAGACAGGCACCUGAGUAUCGCGGGACACGAGAAAUCCUGCGAGAAUCCGCCGGGACCAUCCGGCAAGGCUAAACACUACCGAGAGACCGAUAGCGAACCAGUACCGUGAGGGAAAGGUGAAAAGAACCUCGAACAGAGGAGUGAAACAGACCCUGAAAUCAUGUGCCUACAAGCGGUUCGAGCCCUUAAGUGGGGUGAGAGCGUGCCUUUUGCAUAAUGAACCUACGAGUCACCGUCGCCGGCGAGGCUAAGUGUCAUCAGGCACGGAGCCGGAGCGAAAGCGAGUCUGAACAGGGCGUCAGAGUCGGCGGAGGUGGACGCGAAACCAAGUGAUCUACCCUUGGGCAGGUUGAAGGUGGGGUAACACCCACUGGAGGACCGAACCGGUAAGCGUUGAAAAGCUUUCGGAUGACCUGAGGGUAGGAGUGAAAGGCCAAUCAAACUUGGAGAUAGCUCGUACUCCCCGAAAUGCAUUUAGGUGCAGCCUCGGGGUCAGUACCGCGGAGGUAGAGCGACCGAUAGGAUGCGAGGGCUUCACCGCCUAUCAAGUCCUGACGAACUCCGAAUGCCGCGGCACGAUCCCCGGGAGUGAGGGCGCGGGUGCUAAGGUCCGCGUCCGAGAGAGGAACAACUCAGACCACCGGCCAAGGCCCCCAAAUGCGGGCUAAGUUGAAGACCAUAACGAGGUGGGAUUGCCUUGACAGCUAGGAUGUUGGCUUGGAAGCAGCCAUUCAUUUAAAGAGUGCGUAACAGCUCACUAGUCGAGUGAUCCCGCAUGGAUAAUAAUCGGGCAUAAGUCCGCUGCCGCAGCCGUGGAAUCUCAAAUAUUUUUGAGAUUGGUAGGGGAGCAUUCCGCACGCCGCAGAAGGUGAGGCGCGAGCCUUGCUGGAGGUACCGGAAAAGCAAAUGUAGGUAUAAGUAACGAUAAUUGGGGCGAGAAACCCCAACGCCGAAAGACCAAGGGUUCCUGAUCAACGCUAAUCGGAUCAGGUUAAGUCGGGACCUAAGGAGCAGCCGCAAGGCGCAUCCGAUGGACAGCCGGUCAAUAUUCCGGCACCCGGCGCAAGAGUGAUGCGGCGACGGAGAAGUGACACAUCCGCGUGCUGACGGAAUAGCACGUUAAACCGCGUAGUUAUAUAUGGCGCAGUCAAGUACACGCUGUAUGAUGAAACGGGACAGUACCGAGAAGCCCCGGCGGAUCGGACAGAGAUGGUAAUCCGGCUCCCAAGAAAACCCGCUAAACAAAUCUUGCGUUGGCCCGUACCGUAAACCGACACAGGUGGUCGGGUAGAAUAUACUAAGGCGCUCGAGAGAAUCAUGGUUAAGGAACUAGGCAAAUUGACCCCGUAACUUCGGGAUAAGGGGUCCCCGCUGCAAGGCGGGGCGCAGAGAAUAGGUCCAGGCAACUGUUUAACAAAAACACAGGGCUAUGCAAAGUUUAAAGACGAAGAAUAUAGCCUGACACCUGCCCGGUGCCGGAAGGUUAAGAGGAGAUGUCAUCGCAAGAGAAGCAUUGAAUUGAAGCCCCGGUAAACGGCGGCCGUAACUAUAACGGUCCUAAGGUAGCGAAAUUCCUUGUCGGGUAAGUUCCGACCUGCACGAAUGGUGUAAUGAUCUGGACACUGUCUCAACCAUGAACUCGGUGAAAUUGUAGUAUCGGUGAAGAUGCCGAUUACCCGCAACGGGACGAAAAGACCCCGUGAACCUUUACUGCAGCUUAGCACUGUGACCGGGUGUGCGAUGUGUAGGAUAGUCAGGAGACAGCGAAUCAGGGACGCCAGUUCCUGAGGAGUCGACGUUGAAAUACUGACCUUCGCACAUUUGGUCUCUAACUCUCGUUUGAGAGGACACUGCUUGGUGGGUAGUUUGACUGGGGUGGUCGCCUCCAAAAGAGUAACGGAGGCUUCUAAAGGUGCGCUCAGGCCGAUUGGUAACCGGCCGCAGAGUGUAAUGGCACAAGCGCGCUUGACUGGGAGACAAACAAGUCGCACAGGUAGGAAACUAGAGCAUAGUGAUCCGGUGGUUCCGCAUGGAAGGGCCAUCGCUCAAAGGAUAAAAGGUACUCCGGGGAUAACAGGCUGAUCCCUCCCAAGAGCUCAUAUCGACGGAGUGGUUUGGCACCUCGAUGUCGGCUCGUCACAUCCCGGGGCUGGAGAAGGUCCCAAGGGUUAGGCUGUUCGCCUAUUAAAGUGGCACGCGAGCUGGGUUCAGAACGUCGUGAGACAGUUCGGUCUCUAUCUGUUGUGGGCGUAGGAGAUUUGCGAGGGUCCGGCACUAGUACGAGAGGACCGUGCUGGACAGACCACCGGUUUACCGGUUGUACCGCCAGGUGCACCGCCGGGUAUCCGCGUCUGGACAGGAUAAGUGCUGAAAGCAUCUAAGCACGAAGCCCUCCUCAAGAUAAGAUCUCCUCCAUAUAGGGUCGUUGCAGACUACGACGUAGAUAGGUUGCAGGUGCAGGGGCAGCAAUGUCCACAGCCGAGCAAUACUAAUAGCCCGAACCCUUUCCGGG
rfam:Parabacteroides sp. YL27, complete genome.